rnacentral:misc_RNA from 1 species
AAAUUAUCAACCAUGACUUGGGUUUAGGCCCUUGUUCUUGGCUUGGAUUUGGGUGCUUGCGGUCUUGCGCUGCUCACCUUAAAAGGAUUAGCUGGACAUGUCGUGAGACUUGGUUCUACUUGGCGUAAUAAGUAUUUCGCUGAGGACAUCCCUUCUGGGGUGGCCAGGAAUCUGACAAACGUCUGCUUUCUAACUCGACUGUCCUUGGACAUCACUUUUUUAUG